rnacentral:rRNA from 1 species
AACCUGGUUGAUCCUGCCAGUAGUCAUAUGCUUGUCUCAAAGACUAAGCCAUGCAUGUCUAAGUAUAAACGCUUCUAUACUGUGAAACUGCGAAUGGCUCAUUAAAUCAGUUAUAGUUUAUUUGAUGGUUUCUUACUACUUGGAUAACCGUGGUAAUUCUAGAGCUAAUACAUGCACAAAGUCCCGACUCUUCGGAAGGGAUGUAUUUAUUAGAUCCAAAACCAAUGCGAGUCUCUCGGGGCUCGGUUCCUUGGUGAUUCAUGAUAACUGCUCGAACCGUAUGGCCCUUGCGCCGACGGUGCUUCAUUUAAAUUUCUGCCCUAUCAACUUUCGAUGGUACGGUAGUGGCCUACCAUGGUUGCAACGGGUGACGGAGAAUUAGGGUUCGAUUCCGGAGAGGGAGCCUGAGAAACGGCUACCACAUCCAAGGAAGGCAGCAGGCGCGCAAAUUACCCAAUCCCGACUCGGGGAGGUAGUGACAAUAAAUAACAAUGCCGGGCUAUUGUAGUCUGGCAAUUGGAAUGAGUACAAUCUAAAUCCCUUAACGAGGAACAAUUGGAGGGCAAGUCUGGUGCCAGCAGCCGCGGUAAUUCCAGCUCCAAUAGCGUAUAUUAAAGUUGUUGCAGUUAAAAAGCUCGUAGUUGGAUUUCGGGGUGGCCUGCCUGGUCCACCGCAAGGUGAGUACUGGUCAGCCGCCCUUCCUCUCGAAAGCCCCGACUGCUCUUUACUGCAGUGGUCGGGUAGUUCGGGACGUUUACUUUGAAAAAAUUAGAGUGUUCAAGGCAGGCUAUCGCCUGAAUACAUUAGCAUGGAAUAAUGGAAGAGGACCUCGGUCCUAUUUUGUUGGUUUCUAGGGCCGAAGUAAUGAUUAAGAGGGACAGUUGGGGGGCAUUCGUAUUUAAUUGUCAGAGGUGAAAUUCUUGGGAUUUAAUGGAAAGACGAACUAGUGCGAAAAGCAUUUGCCAAGGGAUGUUUUUCAU